rnacentral:hammerhead_ribozyme from 1 species
AUCCAGAUGAUGAGUCUUAAACAGAACGAAAUGCACAUCCUGGAU